GCCUUUAUAGAAGAUGGCGUUGUGGAGCGAGACAUGAAGCCUUAUGGGAGUUGUAGUCAUCUUGUUUGUGACAAGAAAGUGUUACAGCCUGUAAUAGUGAGCAGGUGCAUUUGCAAUUUGGAGUGCAGUACCGGAAGGAUACUGUGACAGCCUUGCUCAUGAAGACUGGAAUCUAAUUGGUCUCUAACAAGGCAGUGCCACCGCAGAUCACCAUUUUUCUCCAUUAUCUCCUCAUCCUCUUGCCAACCUCCGGUUUAGUGUUCGGCCAGAUUCUGCAGGCUGCAGCCCGAGAUCGAUUGUCUGACCCCACAAUGAGGGGUGAUAGGCCUAUACCAAGGCUUACCCCCAGUGCCGAUGUGGUCCUGUGAGGCCGGGUUGCUGUGGAGACGAGGGGAAGCCACGACGGGUCAGCUGACCAUGUUUGCCACACUGCACCGGUGUCGUGUCCAGCCCGUAUCCAUGGCAACAGAGCACUUGAUUCAUGUUAUUGUAAUGAAGACGUCACCUGAAGAUUUUGGGCGGAGAAGCCAGCGGCGUAGUUGGUGAUGUCAGUUGUUGGUUGCAUAUAAGAGUGUGUUUUUACGUCAUUUGUAUGAGCCGAAAGAAGCACAUUCUGUGCGAAAAAGACAUAGCUUGAUUGUGUCAGUCUGCACCCGGCACCAUUUUUGUACCCCACGGUUGCUGUAAUAAAUCAGCUUGACUGCUACA